ensembl:misc_RNA 7SK 7SK RNA
GAAUGUGAGGGCAAUCUGGCUGAAACAUUUGUCACUCCAUUGGUCGCCAGAGUUGAUUCGGCUGAUCUAGCUGGCUAGGCAGGUAUCCCCUUCUUCCCUCACCGCUCCAUGUGCAUCCCUCCUGAAGCUGCAAGCUCGGUCAAAGAGGACGGACUUCUCCAAUUGAGACGGGCCGGUCUUUGGUCAGGGGGUUUACGAAUAGCUGUGUUUCCCUGCUAGAACCUCCAAACAAGCUCUCAAGAAAGCCUUUUUUCUCUUCAGCUAUGAGCACCAGCCUGUUAGAGUCUGAGGAUGGUUAUAUGUCAACAUAGACACAUAAACGUCAAGAACACAUCUUGGCUCU